rnacentral:rRNA from 1 species
GAAAGAUGGCUUUGGCUAUCACUCUGGGAUGGACCUGCGGUGCAUUAGCUAGUUGGUAAGGUAACGGCUUACCAAGGCGAUGAUGCAUAGCCGAGUUGAGAGACUGAUCGGCCACAAUGGAACUGAGACACGGUCCAUACUCCUACGGGAGGCAGCAGUAGGGAAUCUUCCACAAUGGGCGCAAGCCUGAUGGAGCAACACCGCGUGAGUGAAGAAGGGUUUCGGCUCGUAAAGCUCUGUUGUUGGAGAAGAACGUGCGUGAGAGUAACUGUUCACGCAGUGACGGUAUCCAACCAGAAAGUCACGGCUAACUACGUGCCAGCAGCCGCGGUAAUACGUAGGUGGCAAGCGUUAUCCGGAUUUAUUGGGCGUAAAGCGAGCGCAGGCGGUUGCUUAGGUCUGAUGUGAAAGCCUUCGGCUUAACCGAAGAAGUGCAUCGGAAACCGGGCGACUUGAGUGCAGAAGAGGACAGUGGAACUCCAUGUGUAGCGGUGGAGUGCGUAGAUAUAUGGAAGAACACCAGUGGCGAAGGCGGCUGUCUGGUCUGCAACUGACGCUGAGGCUCGAAAGCAUGGGUAGCGAACAGGAUUAGAUACCCUGGUAGUCCAUGCCGUAAACGAUGAGUGCUAGGUGUUGGAGGGUUUCCGCCCUUCA